AUGUCAACAAGUGGUCGUGUCGGCAGGAGCCCGCCAUCCUGCCCAGCAGUUUUAUCCGUUGCUCUCCUGAGCCAGACUUGUGUCCUCCUCCAUUGUCCAGCCCCACAAAGGAGCCUGAGCAAUCACAAAGCCUUCACAGCCAUUCAUCAUCAGCUCACCGAUUCUGUGGAUGUUAGAAAGAUGCUAAUGGAUCCUUCUGACUUUCGUUUUGGUGCUUCUCUUAGGCAACAUUUUCAAAAGAUCACUAACUCAUACAUGGGCUAUACCUCUCUAGAUGAAGCUGCACGAUGUCAAGUAAUGCAAGCAGCAGCUCCAUGUAAUUAAGAGGUCUAUUAACUUAGACCUAGUGGUGAAUAUUUUUAUGCUGUAAUAUCAAAAGGACUGGAACUCCAAGGUUACUCUCUGGUAGGUAAGUGCCACAAAAUUCCAAAUUCAUAUGCUGGUUUUUUUCCCCCCCGUGCAAACUAACAAAAGAGUGUGCAUAAGGAAUUUGAGAUUAGUUCUGUCUAUUGUUAGCUCCGUGCAUCUUCAAAGCAUAUCCAGGGGACAUCCUACCAGAAAGCGAACGUUAAACAAACAAUUCGUUUACUUCCUGCUCUGUUCUCCAGUGACUAAGACUUAUGGCUGAGAGGUAAUAGAAAUCUGUUGAUGCCAGUAGAUAUUGAAGGAAACUAACAUCCUUUGUGGUAUCCCCAAG
rnacentral:lncRNA from 1 species